GACGAACGCUGGCGGCGUGCCUAAUACAUGCAAGUAGAACGCUGAAACUUGGUGCUUGCACCGAGCGGAUGAGUUGCGAACGGGUGAGUAACGCGUAGGUAACCUGCCUGGUAGCGGGGGAUAACUAUUGGAAACGAUAGCUAAUACCGCAUAAGAGUAGAUGUUGCAUGACAUUUGCUUAAAAGGUGCAAUUGCACCACUACCAGAUGGACCUGCGUUGUAUUAGCUAGUUGGUGGGGUAACGGCUCACCAAGGCGACGAUACAUAGCCGACCUGAGAGGGUGAUCGGCCACACUGGGACUGAGACACGGCCCAGACUCCUACGGGAGGCAGCAGUAGGGAAUCUUCGGCAAUGGACGGAAGGCUGACCGAGCAACGCCGCGUGAGUGAAGAAGGUUUUCGGAUCGUAAAGCUCUGUUGUAAGAGAAGAACGAGUGUGAGAGUGGAAAGUUCACACUGUGACGGUAUCUUACCAGAAAGGGACGGCUAACUACGUG
rnacentral:rRNA from 1 species